rnacentral:rRNA from 1 species
UACGUAGGGUGCGAGCGUUGUCCGGAAUUAUUGGGCGUAAAGAGCUUGUAGGCGGUUUGUCGCGUCUGCUGUGAAAAUCCGGGGCUCAACCCCGGACUUGCAGUGGGUACGGGCAGACUAGAGUGUGGUAGGGGAGACUGGAAUUCCUGGUGUAGCGGUGGAAUGCGCAGAUAUCAGGAGGAACACCAAUGGCGAAGGCAGCUCACUGGGACGGUAUUGACGCUGAGACGCGAAAGCGUGGGGAGCAAACAGG